AACGAACGCUGGCGGCAUGCCUAACACAUGCAAGUCGAACGAGACCUUCGGGUCUAGUGGCGCACGGGUGCGUAACGCGUGGGAACCUGCCCUUAGGUUCGGAAUAACUCCCCGACAGGGGUGCUAAUACCGGAUAAUUUCUUCUGACCAAAGAUUUAUCGCCUUUGGAUGGGCCCGCGUUGUAUUAGCUAGUUGGUAGGGUAAAAGCCUACCAAGGCGACGAUCCAUAGCUGGUCUGAGAGGAUGAUCAGCCACACUGGGACUGAGACACGGCCCAGACUCCUACGGGAGGCAGCAGUGGGGAAUAUUGGACAAUGGGCGAAAGCCUGAUCCAGCAAUGCCGCGUGAGUGAUGAAGGACUUAGGGUUGUAAAGCUCUUUUACCCGGGAUGAUAAUGACAGUACCGGGAGAAUAAGCGCCGGCUAACUCCGUG
rnacentral:rRNA from 1 species